UACGUAGGGGGCAAGCGUUGUCCGGAUUUAUUGGGCGUAAAGAGCGUGUAGGCGGUCAGGUAGGUCCGUUGUGAAAACGCGAGGCUCAACCUCGCGCCUGCAGUGGGUACGGGCAGACUGGAGUGCGGUAGGGGAGAUUGGAAUUCCUGGUGUAGCGGUGGAAUGCGCAGAUAUCAGGAGGAACACCGGUGGCGAAGGCGGGUCUCUGGGCCGUUACUGACGCUGAGGAGCGAAAGCGUGGGGAGCGAACAGG
rnacentral:rRNA from 1 species